rnacentral:rRNA from 1 species
UACGUAGGGGGGCAAGCGUUGUCCGGAUUUAUUGGGCGUAAAGAGCGUGUAGGCGGCCAGGUAGGUCUGCUGUGAAAACUCGAGGCUCAACCUCGAGAUGUCGGCGGAAACCAUUUGGCUAGAGUCCGGAAGAGGAGAGUGGAAUUCCUGGUGUAGCGGUGAAAUGCGCAGAUAUCAGGAAGAACACCAAUGGCGAAAGCAGCUCUCUGGGACGGUACUGACGCUGAGACGCGAAAGCGUGGGGAGCGAACAGG